rnacentral:rRNA from 1 species
UACGUAGGGUGCAAGCGUUGUCCGGAAUUAUUGGGCGUAAAGGGCGCGUAGGCGGCAUGGCAAGUGGAAGGUGAAAUCCCUCGGCUUAACCGAGGAACUGCCCUCCAAACUGCUUUGCUUGAGGCCGGGAGAGGUGAGUGGAAUUCCCAGUGUAGCGGUGAAAUGCGUAGAUAUCGAGAGGAACACCUGCGGCGAAGGCGGGUUGCUGGGCUGACACUGACGCUGAAGCGCGAAAGCUAGGGGAGCGAACGGG